ACAUGUCUACAACAUAGUGUUAAUGCACCAGAUCCCAUUAGAACUUCACAGUUAAGUGCACUUAGGCUAGAGUAGAACUGGGAUGGGUGACCUUUUGGGAAGUCCUAGUGUUUUACAUGCC
rfam:Picea glauca, whole genome shotgun sequence.